GGGUCGAUGGCGUAGCUGGUUAUCGCAUCUGUCUAACAUAUGAUAUUCCUAUAUUCAUGUGUUCACAGAAGGUCCUCAGUUCGAACCUGGGUCGACUCA